rnacentral:rRNA from 1 species
UACGGAGCUUGCGAGCGUUACCCGGAUUUACUGGGUGUAAAGGGCGUGUAGGCGGUCUCUCAAGUCCGAUGCUAAAGACCGAAGCUCAACUUCGGGGGUGCGUUGGAUACUGUGAGGCUAGACGGUCGGAGGGGGUAGCGGAAUUUCCGGAGUAGCGGUGAAAUGCGCAGAUACCGGAAGGAACGCCGAUAGCGAAGGCAGCUACCUGGACGAUUGGUGACGCUGAGACGCGAAAGCGUGGGGAGCAAACCGG